GGAUCCAGACUUUGAUUCUGGCUCAGGAUGAACGCUAGCUACAGGCUUAACACAUGCAAGUCGAGGGGAAACGACAUCGAAAGCUUGCUUUUGAUGGGCGUCGACCGGCGCACGGGUGAGUAACGCGUAUCCAACCUGCCCAUCACUUGGGAAUAACCUUGCGAAAGUAAGACUAAUACCCAAUGAUAUCCCACGAAGGCAUCCGAAUGGGAUUAAAGAUUUAUCGGUGAUGGAUGGGGAUGCGUCUGAUUAGCUUGUUGGCGGGGUAACGGCCCACCAAGGCAACGAUCAGUAGGGGUUCUGAGAGGAAGGUCCCCCACAUUGGAACUGAGACACGGUCCAAACUCCUACGGGAGGCAGCAGUGAGGAAUAUUGGUCAAUGGGCGAGAGCCUGAACCAGCCAAGUAGCGUGCAGGAUGACGGCCCUAUGGGUUGUAAACUGCUUUUAUAAGGGAAUAAAGUGGGUCACGUGUGACUUUUUGCAUGUACCUUAUGAAUAAGGACCGGCUAAUUCCGUGCCAGCAGCCGCGGUAAUACGGAAGGUCCGGGCGUUAUCCGGAUUUAUUGGGUUUAAAGGGAGCGUAGGCCGGAGAUUAAGCGUGUUGUGAAAUGUAGAGGCUCAACCUCUGCACUGCAGCGCGAACUGGUCUUCUUGAGUACGCACAACGUGGGCGGAAUUCGUGGUGUAGCGGUGAAAUGCUUAGAUAUCACGAAGAACUCCGAUUGCGAAGGCAGCUCACGGGAGCGCAACUGACGCUGAAGCUCGAAAGUGCGGGUAUCGAACAGGAUUAGAUACCCUGGUAGUCCGCACGGUAAACGAUGGAUGCCCGCUGUUGGCCUGAAUAGGUCAGCGGCCAAGCGAAAGCAUUAAGCAUCCCACCUGGGGAGUACGCCGGCAACGGUGCAA
rnacentral:rRNA from 1 species